AGUCUGAACAUAACCAAAGUAAUUGGAAAGCACCCCUCUAAGCAAGGAAGACCAGGUGAGUGUCUCUGCUCAGCCUCGUGUAAUUUAGUCAUCUGUGCUGGCUGCCAAAAAGUGGAUUUCAUCACCUCCUUGUUAGGAAAACGCAUCUUCUCUGCGCAGCAUGUAAGACCGCCUUUGAGCUGCUACACAGAGGAACGGUCCCCUAGGGGAAGUCAUCCUGGUCAGCAGCACAGAAGGGCAGGCACAGACACAGAGCAGCGUGUAACAGCUGCAUGCAACUGCGCUCGCAGCACUGUGCGCUUUGAGGUGUGUCCUGGGGCCAAGGCACAGUCGGGGAGGGCAACAAGGAAGCAGUUUGGGGCAGGACAAUGUUCAGCUCAACCCAGAAGCAAACCGCAGCUGUGUGUCAGGCUCCUCAGUUCCUGUCCUGUCCCUCCUCCCCGUUGGGGAGUAGCUGCAUUUCAGAGUGCAUUUCACCUGAUCUCAACCCAAAUGCUGCUUGCUGGACUUGGGAGUGAAGCCUGCCUGGAAGUUGUGGUGGUCAUCCUGGCCUCUGGAAGCCGCUCCAGCUCUGCACAUCCAGAGUUUGAGGUCAUGGAGCAGAUGAAGCCUAGAAGGUGCUAUUGCGUUCACGAGCGAUGUACUUUUCUUGCAACUGGUCAAUAAAUGCAGU
rnacentral:lncRNA from 1 species